rnacentral:lncRNA from 1 species
AGAUAUGCACUGAGUACCUGCUGUAUGCCUGGGACUGUGUUAGGAAUUGAGGAAAUUCCAAUAAGCAAAUAUGGAUCACAUUCCUUCUUGCAGACUAGCAAAAGAUAUAGACAUGGAACUUGACAAUUACAACACUGUACUGCAAUAAGUGCUAUGUGAAGGUAAGUUCAAGAUGCUGUGGGAACACAUGGAAGGAGUACCUCAUACAGACUUGUGGGGUUGGGAAAUGUUCCUGGAGAAAUUAAAGAAUGAGUAGAAAUUAGCCUAGUAGAAAAGUAGGGCAUGGGUUGGCAGGGAAAGGGGUUGGAGGGGUGGUGGUGGAGGAGGAGGAGGAGGAGGAGGAAGAGGAGGAGGAGGCAGAGGAGGAGGCGGCGGCGGAGGAGGAGGAGGUGGCGGCGGUGGCGGCUGCCAUGGCUGAGGCUCUGGAAUGACUCCCUGAGGGUAGAGUGUGGUGAUUGUGGACUUUGGAGCCAUUAUUGGAGAUAUGGGGUGAAGGAGAACUUGCAGGUAUUGGUUGGAAGGUGAGUACGGUUUGGAAUAUGUGAAAUUGGAGACACCUGUGGUGUCUCAGGAGUCACUUUGACAUCUUCCUCUCCUUCAACUCCUCUCUCACAGUUAAGCAGGCACCAAGUCCCUUCGACUCAACCUGCAAAAUGCCUCUCAAAUCUACCCAUUUCUUGAUAUUGCUGCUGAAGAGAUCUCACCUCUUGGGCACCUUCCCCUGAGCUUGAGCAUCUAUCUUGUCUGGAGGAAAUUCUCCUUCCCUUUGUAUUUCAUUUUUUCUUUUCUUUCUUUUUUUUUUUUUUCAUUUUUAAUUUUUUAUAUAUUUUUUAGUUUUUAGUGGUCCUUUAUUUUAUUUAUUCAUAUGUGGUGCUGAGGAUCAAACCCAGUGCCUCACACAUGCUAGGCAAGCGCUCUACCACUGACCUACAACUCCAGCCCCCUUCCCUUUGUAUUUCUGUAGAGGGCCAUGUAAAGCUUUGGAUUCUGUUCAGACUCCAGGUUUUAAGAGUUCAACACAGAAAGAAUUUCAGGUCAUUUGUUUCCCUCCAGAAUGAAAUUCUAAUCUUGAGGGAGGUGGGAAGGACAGGCGAAUGCAUUAUUGCAAACCUUCUCCAGUGAUUCUGAGGUACAGCUCUGGUUAAGAGUCCCUGCCCAACACCCUGAGAUAUUUGAGUGUAAGAACCAUGCCCUUCAACUUUGUAUUCAUUAAAUACAACCAAUGCCUGAUAUACACUCAGUGCUCAGUAAAGGGUCAAGUGAACCAGUGGAUACAAGAGCUGAAGAAUGAUAGGGUCCAAAGAAAUGGAUGGAGGAUAUCUUAGGAGUAAGUAUGGUCCCUUCAUUUUUUUCAGUUGCCUUAGUGUUGAAAUGGAAGGAGGCUCCCAGAUAUUCAUGGGAUGUCACUUUUGGCAACAAUGGACCAUCAGUUAUCUGGGUUUUCUAGCAAGGAGGGAUUUCAGAUUAUGUAGUCCGCAAUAUUUCCAGAAAUAGAAAUCAUUCCUUUUUUCUCUAAUGACCCACACAACACCUGGGAAUUCCCAUAAAAUUCCCAGAAGAGAAGGCCUGGAAGGAAAACCACUUUCCCUAUGUAUACUUUGUAUGGAACUGCCAGUGAAGCAGUAGAUAUGGGCAGAAGACACCACUCUCCUGGUGUCUCCUGAGAUCUCUGCUCUGACUGGUUUUCAUCUGUCGUUUUCUGCCAGUUUUGUUGGGACUCACCUUCCAUUUUCUCUCCACACAGGCUUGUUGAAAAUGUAGGAGCCAAUGUUUCCAACCGUCCCUGCUCCAAACUCUGAUGCAUACGCACCUGUGUACAGGUGAGCAUGUGCACACACGCACACACACGCACACACACAAGAAGCACACACUCCUGGGUUCUUGAGGAACUUUCAACAGGAACUUAUAUUGUGAAAACUUUCAUUACGUUUUUUUAAAAAAAUUUUAGUUGUAGAUGGACACAAUACAUUUACUUUGUUUAUUUAUUUAUUUUUAUGUGGAGCUAGGAUGGAACCCAGUGCCUCACGUGUGCUAGGCAAGCAUUCUACCACUGAGCCACAACCCCAGCCCAUUACUUUUAAAAAAGAUGUCUGAAAUACAACAUUUUGGACACAUGGAGGUGCUCCAGCCCCCAGUUUCCUAUCCAUCUCUUGGAAAGGAGUGAGCAGUCUAGGACAUGCAGGGACACACAAAAGAACAUUAUCUUCUGCCAUUGCAUUAGGCCUAAACAUACUUACAAAGCAAAACAGGCAGCUGUGGUAAGGAAGAAAAAGCCCUGGACCAAGAGUUCAAAGGCCCAGGUUAAAGUACUGCCUCUGCCACUUGUUCUCUGGAGUCUGUUUCCUCACCUGUAAAGCCAGAGGAAUGGUAUUACUUCAUAUUUACAUAAACUCAGCUGCAAAACACUGGUUUAGGUACCCUUGUUCUGAGUUAUCACGGACCCCUUGUGCUUACCUGCUAUUGACACUGACUGUUAAUAUGCCUGCCUCCCAUGGCAGAAGGAGAUCUGCUUGAAGGCAGAAAUUGUAUGUCUCUCCCCUACUGUGCCCUGCCUUCAGUACUCAGCAGAGUGGUCAGUGAAUUUUGAUUGUGCAAAUGAAGAACAACUGGAAACUUGUCCAUUUUUGUCUUUCCUGUUAAGCUGUUAUGUUUCUAAAAGAAUAGCUACUGCUUUAUGGUCCUCAUAGGUGGGCUACCAGAUAGGGCAAAUCUACUUUCAUUCUGUGUAAAUUUGAUGUAUGGAUGUUCCAAAUGAUCAGGAGUUGAGUCACUCACCAUGUUACCUUACAACUACAUUUGUCUUUUUUGUGUGUGUGUGUGGUACUGGGGAUUAGAACCCAGGGCUUUGUGGUGCAUGCAAAGCAAGCACUCUGCCAGCUGAGCUAUAUCCCCAGCCCUAACAACUACAUUCAAAAGCCUGUUAAAAUUCUCAUAGGAGAAUAUUUCAGUAGGCUCGCCCCCGCGCCCUGGUUAUUCAGUUGCCGAUGUGUCCCCAGCACAUUGCAUUUCCUCAAUAAUAACCCUUUACACGUGUGUACGACUGCUUUAAAGAUUUGUUAAAAGGUUCGUUUUCAUGUUCACUGACUCAUAGACUCUUAAUAACACCAUGAAAUAGGCAGGGAAGGUAUUCUUACUACCAGUUGACAGAUGAAGAAACAAAGGUUCAGACAUUACUUGUGUUGCCACGUACCAUACCUAGGGCAAAUUUGUGGCAGAGCUGGGCCUAGAAUGUAAGCAGGUUUCUAAUACCAGUCUGGUGUUCUUUAUACCACUCAUUAGUUCAACACUGUUGCAUUUUGUGAUGUUGCCUCAAUGACAUUUUUGCAUCUCGCCCUAUUCCUGCUUCUCAACUGCACCACCCAGUAUUUGCCAUGCUAUUCUCUGUGCUCAACCAGGGCCUCUCCCUCUUUUCCAAACACAUCCUCUUGCGAUUUCCUGUCUCUGGAUCUUUGCAUGUGUUUCCACAUCUUGGAGGACACUCUAACCCCAAUAUCACUGCAAGUUGAGAGAAACCCAAGGCAUCCUCUUAAUUUCACCUCAAAGGCCAGCUAGCCUAUGAUACCUUUGCAGAUUAGCCCUGCUGGAUGAGACCUCUCUACCCUUGAACUCACAGAGCAAUCUGUCUUGUUUUGAAGGGAUUUCCAUACCUGUUUAAUUCCCGGUAGUCUCUCACAUCCCUUGUCUAUGUCCCCACAGCCCCUAUUACUCAGUUUUCAAAGCACUUAUCUCCCAAUGUUGUGAGUCUGCUUUUGCCCUAUGACUGUAACCUCCAUGAGGCCUGGAACUUUGAUUCGUCUUGGUAUCUCCAGCACUGUGCACAGUGCUGGGAGCACAGUAGUUGCUCCAAAAAAAAAAAAAAAUGUCGUGUGAAUGAGUGGACGGAUGAAUGAAUACUACCUAGCACGACGCCAUGGAUAUUCGAGUUGCAAAAUAAUAAUGGAUUAAACUCAGUUUUCAACCAAAUCUCACUAUUUUCAUCCUAUCCUAGUGGGGGAUAAAGGUUCUUUGUCCUGUCUCAGGCUGUCUCUUCUACUCCCGCUCUGGAUUCUAGCACACCCUGCCUCCCUAGGUGCCUCAUUCACUCCAUCAAUGACCUCCUCUCACCAAGGUCUCUACUCGCUUCCUCUUCUCUGUCUGACUCCCUUCCUUGCAGUAACUAACUGGUCUAAAAGUAAGUGCCCUCAACUGGAUGGGUGUCUUCCUUCGCCUGUCCCUCACAUUAUAAACCAUGCAUCUCAUGAUAGAGUAACCUGGCUGGGCCUUUUACUGGGGAACCUUCAGUGUCACUGUCCUUAGAUAUUUUCUAUUGGGUUGGUCAGAUGGCCCACAGAAGACUCUUUCAGAUGCCAGAUUUUAGGGGCAGAGUCAGUGAAGAAGACUGGAGGUUCACAGCUUUCAGGAUGUAUGCAUCCUCUUAAGCCCCCUGUUUUCAAUAUGAGAACCCAGCCCUCAACCGGGUUUAGGAAUUUCUAGUCCAGAGGCUCUUUCCUUUACACUCUCCAGGGAAUGGCACUCCAGAUUUCUCUCUGGGAAGGGAGAGGCCAGCCCCUCACUGGCUUUGGCUGCUGGAGGGGAUUUGGGAAUGAAUUUACGUCUUAAACCAGUUUACAGACACACUCAUUAUUUUGGUGCCUAGCCACCUUCACCUCCACUUCCAAAGUUACCUGUUGCAAUUUUUGAAGAUCCUUGGGGGCAGGUGAUGAUACAGGUUGGCUUUUGGCUUUUCCCACUAAGGUCUCAGGAUUCCUACUUUGUGGUCUUCUUGGAUCUGCUACGUCAACUGCUAGUCAUCCACGUGCUUUUCAGCAUUCCAACUUUAGUUGCUGCUUCCUUUCCUGUUCUCCCCAUCAUAUCCUCCAAAUCCUGUUCCUCUAAUCCUUUCAAAAAUCAUUUUAUAGUAGUUUCAGUGGGGGUUCUGAGAGUCAAUGAAGCCUCUCAAAUGAAGAGGGUUCUGAGAGGCAAUUAAGCUAUAUGUAGAACUAUGGGUCCCACCUAUACAUCACCAUGGACAUGGGUGUCCACCUGCCUAUUUCAUUCAUUCUCCACACGUGUUUCCCAAGCCACUCUUCCUAAAACUCUGCAGACCUAAUUUGUCUCAUCAGGCUCUCUGACCAUUCUUCUGUUUCAUNGCCACAUUCACUGUGUAAAGCCAAGGACUAGAAUGUGGCUACCCACAAACUUGCCAACCCCUGGCUAUAAGUCUGAACAAUAAUGACAACAACAAAAAAGAACAUCUACCAAACUCUGCCAGGGUCUUUGGCUCUGACGAGCUAAAGGUGUGUGGGGAUGAGGACACAGACAAUGUUUCUAGAAAAUGUUUUUGAGUUUUUUUUUUUUUUUUCCAAACUACUUGCAAAACUAAUCUAUAUAUGCUCAUGGUUCUUUCAAGAUCUUGCUGGAAGAACUGUGAAAGUGGGAAUGAUGAUUAUUGUCUGUGAAUGGUUGGUUAGACUGUAAGCAUGGAAAGGGUGAGGGAGUUAACAAAAUUUAUUGAGCAAUAUGGCAGAUUAGUUAAAAGAACUGUCGCUGGAGCCACUGUCUUCAGGUUUCUAAUUCAAAGUCUGACACUUAUUUUAGCCUUGUGACCUUGGGUAAGCCACUUAAUCUCUCUUUGCCUCUAUUUUUUUGUUUCCAUCUGUAAAAUGGCGACAGGGUUGUUGUGGAGAUUAAGUGCACUUAGAACAGUGUCCAGCACAUAGACAGCACUAUGUAAGAGUUGGCUAUUAUUGUUGGGCAACAAUGCGUGCUGUGAACAUCUUAGUUUAAUAACCACAAAGUUGUUUGAAAAACUCUAUGAGGUAGGUGUUUUCUUUUUUUUUUAAAUUUUUUUAUUGUUGGUUGUUCAAAACAUUACAUAGUUCUUGAUAUAUCAUAUUUCACACUUUGAUUCAAGUGGGUUAUGAACUCCCAUUUUUACCCCGUAUACAGAUUGCAGAAUCACAUCAGUUACGCAUCCAUUGAUUUACAUAUUGUCAUACUAGUGUCUGUUGUAUUCUGCUGCCUUUCCUAUCCUCUACUAUCCCCCCUCCCCUCCCCUCCCGAGGUAGGUGUUUUCUGUUCUGUAUCUGUAUGAGAGGUAAAUGAAAAGCCAGACAAAAUGACCUAAGUCGCAUAACUACAGAAUGGCAGAACCUUUAGAUGCUGCCUAGUCCAAGGCUUUCACUUCACCGAAGAACAAACUGAAGUUCAAAAUAGAAGGGCAUGCCUCAAGUCAUUUAGUGCCAGAACUGGGCUUAGAAAUUCAGCAACAGGCCUCUUCCCUUCACGUAAUUCUCAAACUUUGGUGUGCAUCAGAAUCCCCUGGAGGGUUUGCUCAAACAAACUGGUGGUCUCCACUCCCAGAGUUCCUGAUUUAGUAGGUCAGGGUGGGACGUGAACAGUUGCAUUUCUAAAGAAAUUGUCAAAUGAUGCUGAUGUUGCUGGUCUGGGGACCAGACAUUGGGAACCUCCACAGCACACCAUAGUUCGUACAUUCUUUUUUCCUUCUCACCACGGACUCCACCGUCUGUGAUCUAUAAACACUUACAAAGAAAGGGAAACUGGUGAUGAAAACUAAAGAAAAAUAAAUAGCUCCCAGCAAGAAGGCAAGAUGACUGACCUAGAGUCCUGGGUUUGUGUGGGACUUUUCCAAUUUUAAGAUGGGGAAAGUUGUACAGUACAGGAAACCCCUCAGUCCCAGGCACUCUGAGAGGGUUGGCCAUUGUAGACAAAGGCAAACAAAAUUUGGUGCCAGUCAGCUGCCAAACAGAAAAGGACAUAUAGAGAAUGAGGUAAUUUCUGAUGAGUUUGUCUGAAAAGGACACAUUCGUUUCUUCCUCUCCCAACAAAUCUGUAUUAUGAAACUACUCUUUGUAAGGCACCAUGUUAGGUGCUGUGCUCCUGAGACUAUUGAUCCCAUCCCACCAGAGAAGAAAGGUAAAAGUGAGUCUACAGUGAGCUUGGUAGACACAGACCCAGGCUUAUAUACUCAGAAACACCUGGAAUAGGUGUGGGAAGGGAACACCCCACAUCGAAAUUUUUCAACCAUGUUUCAAUACAUGAUCAGCAGUCCAAUAAUUCCCUUCCUCCCUUUCUUCCUCUGAAGGGAGCACAUCAUUGAGAAGGAUUGAUUAAACAUUUAGGAAAAGGAGGGUGUGGUAGUGAAUUAUUUCAUUAAUAAUUCAGGAGAGUCAAGGUAAGGGGAGUCCUUUAGUAAGGGCGGUAAGUUGAAUUUUUUGUCCUUGUCUUUACAGACCCAUGAGUAUGUCCUUCACUUGUCAUAAAUCAAUGCUAACCUCAGUUAUGGUGUAAUCUUCAAGGCUAAUUUAUACAAAACUUCAAAAAAGGCAAAUGUCCUGGGGAAGACUAAUGGCAACGUAUUUUAGAGGAGUGCAUAAUAGCAAAGAGAACUCUUUAAGACCCCAAAUUAAUUCUCAAUCCUUUGACCUGACAGGAAUAAAGAUUUCAGGGAAGACUCCUAAAGAUUCAUGGUAAAAAUAAAAUGCAGAAAUAUUUUGAGAACACAUGUUGGAGCACUGGGUGGAUCAAUAAAAUAAUGCAUAGACUACCAAGUGUUUCCUGGGAACUCACUGAAAAAUUCAGAUUAGGCUCUAUUCUCUGUAAGUUUUCUUUCCUUUAUGACUCCUAUAUUUCUUAAUAAUAUAUAUAUUUUUUUCUGUAGGGUGCACCCUGGCCUACAUGUUCUUUCAUCAUUCUGCAGUGCUCAAUGUGGUUAUUGUACAGCUUCAUUUUCAGUGAAAGCCACGGGAACAGAAGCCUCAUACAUUCCCCACCCAUCCCACUUUCACACAUCAGUCAUUCAAGAAAUAAAGGAAAGAAAGCAUUAAAUAUGACCCAGUCACAUCUUGGCAAUUAACAUAAUAUUUUAAGAGAAGGAAAAAUAUCAUAAAUGGAGGAAAACACAUUACCUCCUAAAAUGCCACCAAAUUGCCAAAAUACAAGUUUGUUAGUGGUGGUGGUGGGGGGGAGGUGGCGGGGGAGGGAGGGAAUAUUAUCAUGUGGAACCUCAGCAGUCUCUGAAAACCCUACAAAUUUCCCUCAUAUAACUACCAAAGUGACGGGUUUGCUCCACAAGAACUGUUGUGACUUGGGAGUUUAAGUUCUUCAGAGGUGAGUUAGAUAGAGAUGACUCUUUGAAGAAAUUAAAACACUAUAUUUGAAUUCAGUUCCUGGGUUAUCACUGAGCUUGUGUUACCAAACAAUUCCUACAAUGUCUACAGUUCUAGGACACUACAAAGCAAAAUCUAGGGUUUCAGCCAAACCCUUCAAUCCAUAGGCCUAUGUAAAGGGCUGUCCCAAGGAACCAAUCAUCUAGCCCAUUGGUUCUCAAAGUAUGGUCUAAAGAGUCUUGGGGGGCUGGGUAAUCCCAGUGACUUGGGGACUGAAGCAGGAGGAUCGAUAGUUCAAAGCAAGCCUCAGCAACUUAGUGAGGCCCUAAGCAACUUAGACCUUGUUUCAAAAUAAAAAGGGCUGGGGAUGUGGUUCCGUGGUUAAGCACCCCUGGGUUCAGUCUCUAGUAUGCUCCCUCCCGGCCAGCAAAGAUUCUUGGGAGUUUCUGAAGCCCUUUUAGUGGGUCUGUGGGAUAAAACUGUUUUUCCACAUUUUUACUGGUACAUUAUAUAUAAUGGUAGGAUUCAUUACAUAUUCAUACAUGGACACAAUACAACAAUAUAAUUUGGCCAGUAUUGUUGUCCAGUAUUGUCCUUUCCCUCCCCCCCUCCUCCCCUUCUGGUACCUUUCCUCUUCUCUACUGUCUCCCUUUAACUUUCAUGAGAUAUCUCCGCCACCAUUCCUUUUCCUUUUCUCCUUUCUAGGUUUGACAUGAGAGAAAACAUAUGAACCUUGACUUUCUGAGUUUGGAGGAAUGGCACCCAGCUAUACCGCGCUCCUCAGUAUUUACCCUAAAGAAUUGAAUUUGUCAUACUGUAGCAAUACAGGGAUGAAACUAUUUUACAAUAACGGUAAGGUGAUACUUUCUUUUUUCACUCCCAUCAUCUCAUCUUUUCCAGAGGUGACAUGACAUGUGAUGUUGUCUCUGAUAGCUGAGGGAUGUGUGCCUCUGUGUUCUUGAAUUUUAAAUAUUUCUGACUCUCAAUAUCUAAGAUAAUUAUUAUCAAUAGAUACAACCUAAACUCCAAAACUCUUUGGGAUCCUCAAUAGUUUUUCAGGGUGUUAAGGUGCUUCUUUCUGAAGAGCAGAGUAAACCCUCUUUGGAGUAAAGAGACAACCUACUGAGCAGGAGAAGUGAUCAUUUCCAAACAAUACACGUGGCAUGGGGUUAAUAUCCAGCAUAUAUAAAGAACCCCAAUAACUCAGUUGCCCCAAAACAAAUAACCUGAUUAAAAAUGGGCAAUAGGGCUGGGGAUGUGGCUCAAGCGGUAGCGCGCUCGCCUGUCAUGCGUGUGGCCCGGGUUCGAUCCUCAGCACCACAUACAAACAAAGAUGUUGUGUCCGCCGAAAACUAAAAAAAAAAAAAAAUAAAUAAAUAAAUAUUAAAAAAAUUUUCUCUCUCUCUUAAAAAAAAAAAGGGCAAUAGACCUAGGUCAAUGUGACUCAAAGGAAGACAUUCAGAUGGCCAACAGAGACGUGAAAAUAUGCUGAGCAACACCAAUCAUAUCAGAAAUGCCAGGCAGUGCUACGCCUGACCCCUCUAAGAGGUCAGUUGUCAAAGAAAAAGAAAAAAAGAACAAAUGUUGGUGAGGAUGUGGAGGAAAAGGAACUCUCAUACAUUGCUGAUAGAAAUGUAAGUUGGUGCGGUGAUUAUGAAAGACGGUGUGGAGGAUCUUUACGCAGUUAAAGGUAGAUCUCCCAUAUGAUGCAGCUACCUCACUUCUGGGCAUGUAUCCAAAGGAAAUGAUUAUGAGCACACCAAAGAGAUCCUAGCAUGGUCUUGUUUAUUGCUGCAUUAUUCACAAUAGCCAAGAUAUGGAAUCAACCUAGAUGCCCAUGAACAGGUGAAUGGAUAAAGGAAAUGUCAUACAUAUGUGUAAUGGAAUACUAUCCAGUCAUAAAAGAAUCCUAUCAUUUGUAUAAAAUAGAUGGGAUUAGAGGACAUUAUGUUAAGGGAAGUGCAUCAGAUAGAAAAACAAGUACCACAUGUUCUCCCUUGUGGAUAUUAAGACCAAAAUUUAGGUGAAUUGUUGAUUUAUCAGUGUUAUUUCUAGAAUGGAUUUCAUUCUAACUGUCCUAGUCAGAAGGAAAAUUUACCUACUUAGUAUUGCUUUGAUUUCAAUAUGGAGAAUCAAAGGAAUUCUCUAUGUUUCUGAAGUAUAGUUACCAAAAUUAUCUAAAAAAGUUUAGAAAAUGUGAGCUCAUGUUGUAGCUUGGGGGAAAGAUCUACCCCACUAGAUGGUUGACAGAAGCCCUCCCUCUCUGUAACAUGUUCCCAUGCUAGAGAAAGGGGCCACUUCUGUUUCAUGAGAUGGGAUAGAGAGACAAUAUGAAGUAGAUUUUCACACAAUAUUAUUCUGCUGAUAUGAAAUUCUGGUCGCCAAGGUGGCAGAUAUGUUCUUAAUCCCAAUGCUGUCAAAUUUAAGCCUGGAGCCCCAAGAGACGAGCAGUAUUUAAGACAUCAUCUCUUGUUAAGUAGCAGCCACACAGUUGGCGAUAGCCAGUGAAGGAUUCCCUGCCAUGUAGGACUCUCCAGUUGUCUAUAAAUAGGACCUGUGAAUGAAUAAAAAGAGAAAACAUCAUCAGAACAAGGGCAAACCCAAAGAACCCUAAAUCAGAAGAGAUCAUUUAAAAAGCAAAGCGUUAGGUGGUUCUAUGGUUAUAUUCUGUGCUAUAUUUUUAUUUUUAAAUUAAGCAGACUUUUGGAAGCCCAGGCGGGUGUAACCCUGUAGCAGGAUAAAUGGAAGUUGCAAAGGCAAUAGUAGGUAAUAAAUGGGCCCUGCACUUGAGGGGUUUGUGUUUCUUGAAUAAUUGUCCUCUUUUCAAAGCAAAUCAUGUAAUUCGAUUCUUUCGUUUUCUUUUCUACUUCUCACUCUAUAGUUUUUCAAAGGGUUAAGCUAUUUUAUUAUUUUAUUUUUUUUGAAGAUAUUCUCCAUCCAGAGGAAAUGAAGAUGAAAAAGAAAUGGAAUCAUGAAGGUGGAGGGACUCUUAGGGAUCAUGCAGUUAAAACCCCUCGUCAUUCACAUACAGUCACAGAUGUCAGAGAUGGGGUGGGUCCUGCUCCCAGGUCAUUCAGUGGGUGAGUGGCAGGACCACAGCCAGCACCUAGGACUUUUUUUCCCCCUCUGUUUCCUUUGCAACAACACGACACAUACUAAACAAGUACCAUUAUUGAUUGAUUUGUUUAUUUUUAUUUCCAUUUUAAAAAUUUUUUUGGUACUAGGGAUUGAACCCGGGCUGCUUUACCACUGAGCUCCAUCCCCAGCCCUUUUCAUUUUUUUAAAGGAUUUUUUUUUAACCUUUGUUUUACUUAUUUUUAUGUGGUGCUGAGGAUUGAAUUCAGUGCCUCACACAUGCUAGGCAAGCGCUCUACCACUGUGCUACAACCCUAGCCCACCAGUUUUUAAAUUUUUGAGACAGGGUCUCACUAACUUCCUGAGGCUGGCCUUGAACUUACAGUCCUCCUGCCUCAGCCUCCAGAGUCACUGGGAUUACAGGUUUGUGCCACCAUGCCUGGCUUUCUUCACUGCUUCUGUGUAACAAGCUUAUUUGAUAUCUUUAGAGUUUAGGACAUACCCUCCCAGGCUUUAGUUUGACCCAAAGCUCAUUCUCAGGUCUCCUCAACUCAAUUGUUAGAGUCCGGUGUGCUGUAUACCAACGAUGAACGACAUCAUAAGGCACAGUAUUGAUGACAGCUCGGUCAUAGUUGUUGUACCUAACGUGGAAUUGUGAGAAAGAAAGAUCUCAAACACACAAAUAGAGACAUCUGCUGUUUAUUGAACUACUUUAUAUAAUGGUUUUCUCUGCAUUCACUACUUGUUCUGCAGAUGAGCUGACAAUAUGUCAACAUUCUCUUAGGUGCACAGGAUUGGAGAGAGGAGCUCUUCUGCCUGCUGAUCAUAUUUUGUUUCUCUCUGGAGAACCUGGGGAUAGGGGAUAGAAGUUAAGUUCCAGUUGUUUUUUCCCCAUCUUAGGAUAUGAUGUUUUAUCUAAAGCAUAUUUCAUAGAGUACGUCCUUAUUGGUCAAAGCUCAUGGAAGCAUUGGGGAAAGAUUUGAGCUUGCCCCUCGUCAAGCUGAGAUAGGCAUGGUAGGCUGUAUUAACAAAGGUUUCUUUUCAAUGACUUAUAACUUCUCAUAUAUCUCCCUUUGUGAGAGAGAUGCCAGCUAUAGUAGCUACUGGGCAGUUCACCCAAAGAUCUUAAUUAAUUCAUUAAAUACUAACAUUUAUAUGAGCAUGUGCUACAAGCUAGUAAGUGUGUUUAGGCACUAAACACACAAUGAUGAACAUGGCAGACAUGAUCCCCUUAUGUUCUCUCGAGGAAGAUAAACGAUAAACUAGAAAUAAAUAAAUAUAUAAAUAAUUUCAGCUAGUUGCAGAUGGUAGGAAGAAAAAUUGGUGUUAUAUGUUUAAGCAUGCCUGGGAAAUCUAUUUCAGAUGGAGUGCUGAGUGAAGGAUUUUUUGAAGAAGUGACAUUGGAGCUGGUACCUGUAUGAUGAGAGACCAGCAAUUCAGCCAGCUGAGGGAAGAACAUUCCAGGCAGAGGGAAUAGCAAGUACAAAG